AUCCAUAUAUAUACUAAAUCUCCUUUCUAGAUAAAAUCUAUAUAUAUAUAUAAAGUAGACAUGAAUUCUCUUCUCCUCUUUCCACCUAAGAAAAUAGAGGAAGGAGAGCUCGACACGUGUCCACCUUUAUUUGAGUUUCGUUGCGUUUUGUUUUGUUACUGUUAACGGGCUUCCACGAGAUUUUUACUUUUGGUUUCGUUACUCUUAUUUGGGCUAAAAGAAUUGAACAAAACCUUAGCUCAUUAUCAUCUUCACCUUCCUCAAUAACGAAGUCACUAAAUAUUUCUACGGUCCUUCCUGUUUUCGACCUUUCGUUCAUAUCGAUUCCCUGGAUAGAGAUGUUUCAAUGUCAUUUCGUAUCAUUUUCUUCUCCUUGGAACCGUUACAGACUGAGUUGAUUCACUGACAUUAACAAGGUACUUAAGUCCUUUGACCCAUUUCAACCACGAUUUCUCAUUCAUUACAUCUUUCCUCUCU
rnacentral:lncRNA from 1 species